rnacentral:rRNA from 1 species
GGANUCACUGGGCGUAAAGGACGCGUAGGCGGAUUAUCAAGUCUCUUGUGAANUCUAACGGCUUAACCGUUAAACUGCUUGGGAAACUGAUAAUCUAGAGUAAGGGAGAGGCAGAUGGAAUUCUUGGUGUAGGGGUAAAAUCCGUAGAGAUCAAGAAGAAUACCCAUUGCGAAAGCGUUCUGCUGGAACUUAACUGACGCUAAUGCGUGAAAGCGUGGGGAGCAAACAGGAUUAGAUACCCUGGUAGUCCACGCCCUAAACGAUGUAUACUAGUUGUUGCUUCGCUAGUCGAGGCAGUAAUGCACCUAACGGAUUAAGUAUACCGCCUGGGGAGUACGGUCGCAAGAUUAAAACUCAAAGGAAUAGACGGGGACCCGCACAAGCGGUGGAGCAUGUGGUUUAAUUCGAAGAUACGCGAAGAACCUUACCCGGACUUGAUAUCUAACAAAUCACCCAGAGAUGGAAGAGUGUCUGCUUGCAGAAAUGUUAAGACAGGUGCUGCACGGCUGUCGUCAGCUCGUGUCGUGAGAUGUUNGGUUAAGUCCCGCAACGAGCGCAACCCACGUCAUUAGUUGCUAACGGUUCGGCCGAGCACUCUAAUGAGACUGCCUUCGCAAGGAGGAGGAAGGUGUGGACGACGUCAAGUCAUCAUGGCCCUUAUGUCCGGGGCGACACACGUGCUACAAUGGCGUAUACAAUGAGACGCAAUAUCGCGAGAUGGAGCAAAUCUAUAAAAUACGUCCCAGUUCGGAUUGGAGUCNG